AAACACGAUGGACCGAUUGAGAGCGAAAUUUCCAUUCUAAUUUCGAGUAAUUUGGUGAAAAUGUUUGAACAAUUAGUAGGCUUUGUCUCGCACUAAUGAAGCGACGACUUGUACGAGGGUGAACUCUUUCAUUUUUUUUUCGCCUGUCGCUGUUUUCCGUUCGUAUCAUCGGCUGUCAAAUUCGCAAACAAAAUUAACCUUUCAACUUUAUUGGAUUGCAUGUGCGCUGGAAUAAUCGGCUGAAUGCAGUUGGAAUUGAUAAUUGAUUUUUUUUUUGUGUUUAGAACGAACAGAAUUCGUUCGGUGAUGGUGUAAAAUUGGCGUAAUUUCUUCUUGUUUAGCAACGCUAUGGCACCAACAGCUUGCAGCACCAGAAAACAAAAUGCAUCCACAAUCUGUUCCUAUUUACUACCUCCAAAGCAGAAUCCAGUUGACCCGCUGAGUCUCUAUCAGGAUCACCACAAGCCUCUGCGAGAAAAAAGCAUUUCGGAGAAACGGCCAUUACUCCAG